GGAAUAUUGCACAAUGGGCGAAAGCCUGAUGCAGCAACGCCGCGUGAAGGAUGAAGGCCCUUGGGUCGUAAACUUCUGUUCUAAGGGAAGAUAAUGACGGUACCUUAGGAGCAAGUCCCGGCUAACUACGUGCCAGCAGCCGCGGUAAUACGUAGGGGGCGAGCGUUAUCCGGAAUUAUUGGGCGUAAAGAGUACGUAGGCGGGAAAUUAAGCACAGGGUUUAAGGCAUCGGCUUAACCGAUGUUCGCCCUGUGAACUGAUUUUCUUGAGUGCAGGAGGGGAAAGCGGAAUUCCUAGUGUAGCGGUGAAAUGCGUAGAUAUUAGGAGGAACACCAGUGGCGAAGGCGGCUUUCUGGACUGUAACUGACGCUGAGGUACGAAAGUGUGGGGAGCAAACA
rnacentral:rRNA from 1 species